rnacentral:lncRNA from 1 species
AAUCAUUUUAUAGAUCAGUGAUCAUAUAGAACUCACCAUAACCGGUUGCCCAAUAGGAAGGAUGCGGCUACCGGAAUAGGUUUAUGACUCCAUAGAGUUUGUAAACAUUACCCAUAUGGUCAGCCUAAAACAAUUGCCAUGGCUUCUUAGACAUGUCCAAUGAGAGUCGUACCCACCGGUUAUUCAGUAUACUUCUACUACGAAAUGUCAAGGAUGUAGGUUCGCACAUAAAAAUACUACACAAAUAAAAGUUGGUCAAUUAUAUAAAUAAAUCACCACAUAUCGAAACUAUGCAUGUGCCACAUAGUACCCAGGCGCCAAAUUAAGCCAGAUCUAUGGGAGUUCACGCAGCAUCCUGGUCCUCUCCUGACGCCUCGUUGCCACUCCAGGCUCCAAGUAUUAGUAAGGUUCAAUCCUUACGGUGUUUGAGAUCAGACUUCCCAUUAAGCAGGUGGUUGCAGAAGUACAAAGUAAGUGAGAUGUUACGAACCGGUCCUUAUGGUGCUAGAGUAAACUUCUCCUAGUGAGGACACCCAUACAGGAUCAUCUUCACCCUACAGGUUGACCUCUGCAGGCAUCCUACUUUCCCUGCACUACUAAAUGGCACAAUAGCACUUGCUAACACACACCACAAGCAGCUCUAGUACGUCCACACAAUGCUGAACUACAACAUGCUUAAUUGCUUAUACCAUAAAGCGAAAACAAGUUUCUCAUAAUUAUAAUCAUGUUCCUAAGCCGCGUUGUCCGGUGAGGUGCUGGGGUAAAAUGGUAUCGUUAUGGACCAGGACAUUCCUGCAGCGUGGUUUUAUGAAAAACAACUUUUGAAAAUAAUGCAUGUUAAGGCAGGCUAGGAGUAAGUGAAGACGGGGAGUCAGUAUGUACUUUCUUUCUUCAAUGUAGUCCUUGGAUCCUUCGAAGUAGUCCAGAUCCUGCUACCUGUCCUCUGAUGCUCCAUCUUCUAAUGCUCGUGAGGAUGGUAACAUAAGUACCAUCCAUCACAAAUAGAAAAAAAUAAAAACGAAAAGGUGACACAAGAGAGCAAAGGUAGGACAAGAUUUAAGAGGAAUUUUGGAGGUGGUUUCAUCAAAUACAGGUUUAGGGUAAAGAAGAUAUGUUUUUUAGAUUUUAUUGCAUUAUUCUUGGAUAUUGAGUUUAUGGGAAGUUUAUAGUUAUUUUUCCAUUAUUCUACGCCUACGGUGGCUCUAGUGUUUCUAGGAUUUUUUUUUUUGAAAUGUUCUCCCAAAGAAAAGGCUAACGCGUGCUGUGGUUGACCUGUGGGGUCCGCUUAGGCGACGUGCACCUGUACACUAGCCUGACCCAAUUUAUGGCAGGAAAGGCAUUCAUUCUUGUGGGGGCAGGGUUGGUGAUUUGCCUCUAUCUGCUAAAGUGAUCUGCACCACGUCUAGAAUUGGGAAACCCGUGGAGGGCAUUGUCUCGGCAUGGCGGAGCUGAUGGCGCGGGGUAUCAUCGACGUCGAUAUCCAAAGCAAAGAUAGCGCCUCACCAGAGUUGGCCAUGGUGGCGAUAAAAAAUGGAAUGACUCGGGAGCGAUAUUGGCUCGGGUUUGGGGGGGGGGGGGGGCAGAGAUGUGCAGGUAGGGCGUACGAGACGACGUCGUGGGGGCACACUGACAAUCAGCCAGGGCAACCAUGCUCGAUUGAAGCAUAGCGGCUCAGGGUGCACGCAGAUGAGGUGGGGCAGGGAAGGAGAGAGAGAAGGGGCACAUAGACGGAAGAGAGAGGAUCAGUAAUACUUACCAACUACUGGUCCUCGAGGCUCGCUACGCGGCUGCGGUGGCAAACCAAUGGUGAACCGACACGGUGCACCUCCAACAUUGAGAAAAUAGGGGAGCUUGGGAAACAGGAAAAGACAGGAAGAGGGGCCUGAGGGCUGCUGCCUGGUGGUGGUCCUCGAGCUGCUGCUCUGCUUGGUGCAGAGAGUGAGCUUGGGCAAGAGAGGAAGAGGGACUCUAGGGCUGCCUGCCUGGUGGUGGUGCUCGAGCUGCUGCU